rnacentral:lncRNA from 1 species
AUGGAACAGCAGGAGAAUUCAUCACCAAGUCAAAUUCUGAAAAAGGACCUCUCUGAGAAUGAUCAGUCUUCAUCUAAGGAAUCUGAGUCUGGCUCCUGCACAGGUCUGGAGCCCAGGCAGGAAACUAGCCAAAAGAGUAGCCUCUCCCUAGAGAGGAGGUGGCUGGCUUCAACUCCACAAGCUGCUCAUUCAGGAUACAGUGGUUCCCCAAACCAUCACUCUGUCUCUUCCCCAACAGUGAGACCUUCCACUCAGGCAAUGCCCAAGGGAAGCUCCUACUUGCGUAGGAGUCAGCUAUACACAAGCUAUUACCAAUCGUCUUUUCUGAGUUCCCAGGAGUCCCCAUAUCAGCUGCGGCAUUCUCACCCCCAGCAGGUACCAAGUAUGCUGCCCUCAAUGCCCCAACAUCCUACCUUGCAGUCUCAACAGGAGACUUCAGAUCUGUAUCAGUCCCUACAGGAUCAUGAAAGCCAGAUACAACCAUCCCCAUUGGUGAAGAUGGAAGAACAACCAUAUUUUAGCCAGACACAAGAAAUGCAGCUCACCAAUCUACCUGGAAUAACUAUGGAGACUGAGUCAACAUUGCUUCCUUCUAGUGGACAUCUGGCUGUCCCACUGGAAGGUCUAGCUGUCCCUCACAAACACCUGGCUGCCCCUCAGGGACACUUUCCUGCCCCUCAGGGACACUUUCCUGCCCCCCAGGGACAUUUUCCUGCCCCCCAGGGACAUUUUCCUGCCCCCCAGGGACACUUGCCUGCCCUCCAGGGACACUUUCCUGCCCCCCAGGGACACUUUCCUGCCCCCCAGGGACACUUGCCUGCCCCCCAGGGACACUUGCCUGUCCCCCAGGGACACUUGCCUGACCCUCAGCAACAUUUCACUGGCCCCCUGGGAGAUCUACCUGUCCCCCAAGGACACCUCUCUGUCCCUCAUGAAUACCUGUCUGCCACCCAGGGACACUUGCCUGCUCCUCAGGGACAUUUGGCUGACACCCUAGCUAUCUCCCAGGGACACCUGUCUGUCCCUCACGAACACUUGACUGCCCCUCAAGAAUACCCGACUGCCUCCCAAAUGACCGCCUAUCAGGGGCAUCUGAUCACCCAUGAUGGAAACCUGACUACCCUCCAGGAAAACCUGGCUACCCUACAAGAACACUUGACUGCUCCUCAGGAACACCUGGAUGACCCUAUGGAAGAUCUAGUUGUCUCCCAGGGUCACCUGAUGCCCCCCUGGAAAAUAUGA